ACUCCUACGGGAGGCAGCAGUGGGGAAUAUUGUACAAUGGGCGCAAGCCUGAUGCAGCCAUGCCGCGUGUGUGAAGAAGGCCGUUGGGUUGUAAAGCACUUUCAGUCGUGAGGAAGGUAGUGUAGUUAAUAGCUGCAUUAUUUGUACGUUAGCGACAGAAGAAGCACCGGCUAACUCCGUGCCAGCAGCCGCGGUAAUACGGAGGGUGCGAGCGUUAAUCGGAAUUACGUGGGCGUAAAGCGCAUGCAGGGUUGGUUUGUUAAGUCAGAUGUGAAAGCCCGGGGCUCAACCUCGGAAUAGCAUUUGAAACUGGCAGACUAGAGUACUGUAGGAGGGGGUAG
rnacentral:rRNA from 1 species